UCUUCCGUAGUAUAGUGGUCAGUAUGUGAGCUUGUCAUCUCUCAAGACGACUUCGCUCGAGACCCGGGUUCAAUUCCCGGCGGGAGAG
rnacentral:tRNA from 1 species